UUAUCAAACUAAAAUUUGUCGGUUGACUUCGCAAGACCCAAGUCCGCGGAUGGUAGAAACGACGUGCCAGUUAAGCGCGCGAGUGAACACGCAAGGCGUGCUUGCAAAGAAAGAAAGUCGACGUAGACCGAAAUAGUUAACGGUGGGGGACACAGCAAUUCCUGGGUUUCCGAUUUCCUCCUUUUGGUAACACGCACCGACGCGGCAGACUGAAGUGAGCUUUCCGCCUUCCCUCUUUUCGCCGUCGCUGUUUCCUCGUUUUCGUCAAAAACCCCGGGAAACCUAGGAAUUUCUUGGUACGAGAUUGCUUGUUUAUCUACUCUGGUCUCUCGAAGUUUUCUGUUCUGCUGCGAGAUUUCGAAUCGUGGUUUUCGGGUGGCAUUGAAUUUUGUUAAUGACUGGUGAGCAUUGUUUAAUUUCUUAUACUGCGGAUUAUGGGGCCAGACAGAAAAAAAGCUCUACCGCCAGAGAAUGGAAGAGUCAUUGCAGCUGAAACACUGCCUAGAAAGCCAAGUAGUAUUGACGAGGGAGGUGGGAAAGCAAUGGUGCAUAUGCACCAUGGUAUGGGUUCGACUCCACUGACUUCCGUACUCCCUCAUAACUAACUAUUUAACCCUCUCACGCUGUCGUUCAUAAAAAAAGAUGGUUAUUCUAGUAAUUAAUUUUAAAUUCAAUAAUUAUUAUCUUCUAUCUGAUGCUAUAAUCGUACAGCGGGAUCGGAUCCUCUCUCUUGUAAUUAACAAAAAUAAGUGAAUCAGACGGUUUUAUCGAGAAAUUAGGCUUCGAAGAUGUGGUAAUUAUUGGGCCUUCCGAGAGAGGAAAUAAAAGCCCGAUCUCUCCUUUUGAAGUUCGGCCCGUUUUAGUUUGGGAGCAAUAACACUACUCAUUUCUCUUCGAAUCAUACUUUUUCUUGUUUCGUCAUUUUCGAAUUAUACUUUCCACUUCUUUUUUUUUUUCAGUUACUUUAAGGGCAAAUGCCCAAACUAAGUACCUGGCAAUCAAAUGGGACCAGUGAGGUUAUUCUGUGGUCACGAAUAAUCUAACGACAUAUCCUUUACUUUUUUGCACACGUAUUUUUUUUAUGUACACUAAUGUUUAUUUAUAUUUUCGUAUAUAAGUACAGGUGUGAUCACUGAUCACUUCAUGGUCACAAUCUCUUUUGCAGAUGUUGAGGUUCAUUCAUAUACACGUGCAACUUUGGAAAAAGCAUGGGCACUGAUCAACUUGGUAUGUUCUUAUGUGGCAAUUGAAUCUAGUAAUUGAAAGAACAUGUUAAGUACCAAAUUAAGUUAAAACCAUUUCCAACGUGGUUGAUUAGGUAUAGUGGAUGCAAAAGGGGCCAAAGUCGGAAGAGAUUUGUGAGGAAUAGUUUGUCUGUAUGGAGUUGAAGUCAAGUGAAUGAGAGAUUCAUCAUCA